AAGCUCGUAGUUGAAUUUCGGACCUGGUCGGGCGGUCUGCUUAACGGCAUGUACUGUCUGACUGGGUCUUACCUCUUGGUGAGCCGGCGUGCCCUUUAUUGGUUGUGCGUUGGGGAACCAGGACUUUUACCUUGAGAAAAUUAGAGUGUUCAAAGCAGGCCUAUGCCCGAAUACAUUAGCAUGGAAUAAUAGAAUAGGACGUGCGGUUCUAUUUUGUUGGUUUCAGAGUCGCAGUAUGUAAUUAAGUAGGGUAUUAGGUUAGCUGGACGGCCGGGUCGUGGAACG
rnacentral:rRNA from 1 species